GCCGGCGUCGCAUAAUCUGGUGGUGCACUGGUCUCGAAAACCAGCGGGCUCUGCCCAUGCAGGUUCAAAUCCUGCCGCCGGCG
rnacentral:tRNA from 1 species